UAUUAACAUCCGCGUCAGUAAGAAGGUCAGGAUGAGUAGGAGAUUCAAUUCUUAAUUUUCUUCCCAUCAGUAAUUCAGAUGGGCUGAAUCCAUUUUCCAAAGGGGUAGUUCUGUAAGCUAGAAGACCUAGAUAAGGAUCCUGUGAUUUCUUCAAUCUUGCCUUGAUCAUCUUCACAGCACUUUCUGCCAUUCCAUCACUUUGGGGGUAUUUAAAUGCUGCUCUUGAUGUGUCUAAAUGCGUACCUUUUUUCAAAAUUCUGGAACAAAUAGUUUUUAAAUUGUGGACCAUUAUCCGUCCUUACAAGUUCUGGUAUUUCAUGUCGUGCGAAAAUAGACUUGGUAUGCAAGAUCACAGUUUCUGCUGAUGAAUUAUCCAAUCUACUAAAUUCUGGGUAACGAGAAUAGUAAUCAGUUAUUACCAAAAAGUGUUUUCCCUCAAAUUGGCAAAGAUCCAUCGCAACCUCCUUCCAUGGUCUAUCUGGGAAGUCAGUCAUGAUAAUUGGUUCUUUCCUUGAACUGCUUUCUUUGAUGCAAAUGUACAUAUUUACAAGCUGUAUGUAGUAGUAUUCUACGGAUUCUGGGAUGAGCAGGAUGCUAAACAAAAAGUCCAUUAAAUAUAUAUUUUUUGAACAAAAAAAGAUAUGAUUACUAACCUUUAGUGAGGAACUGGUUGAUCUUGAGUUGGUGGUGGGUAGAUGGCUUUGAUUGCUUCUAUAAAUGAUUGCAUCUGUUGCCGGGGGUUGCCUGGGUGUGCGCGGCACCAGGCAUAUUUGGCCAAAAAAUAAGGCAAUUGGUUUUUAGGCCGACGUGCUGACCGCAGUUUUCUCUAUAUUUGCCACCAUGUGUUUUCUAUAGUGUUCGUAUGGGUGCCAGUGACGGGGUCCAUGAAAUUUUGAGAGUGAUUGACGGUCAUAUGUAUAUAACCCCUCCGCGCCAAACGGUUGUAGGCACGCCAACAAUCAGUGAUCACUAUCGUGCCUCGAAGAACACAAGCGCGAAUUAUGGGCUCGAUGGUGGCCCUGUUCUUCCGCCGAUUGAACUUUCUUCUAGAAAGAACGAGCUGACUCGCUUCGAUUCAAUUCGAUUUAUUUCAAACAACAAAAAAGAAUUACACUAAGAUUUAAUGCGAUUUAGUUGUAUUUAUUACAGAAAAAAAAAGACUAUUAAAUCAAAAAAGAAAAAAAAGAACAACAAAAAGAAUGAUGAUAAGUAACAAUAAAAUUCUAUGAAUAUGAAUUAUAAUUAAUUAAUAAAAUACAAUAAUAAUAAUAAUAAAAAAAAAAAAAACUAACAUACUCCACCCUGGUGGACUAACUUAGUCCUCAGCAAAAGGUAAUGGUACUAUUUUAGAGACAGUUCUAGUAAGGUGUUCUUGGUGCUUGGUCUUCACCUCGACAACUCGAACUUUACCGUCUGCUCCCGGAAAGACUGGUGAUGCAACCAAGGCUCCAAUACAUUGCUGGUGGUGAUCCUUGAGCAAGAUGAGGUCACCUUCCUUAAUGUUGGGUGAGGAUUUUUGCCAUUUUAGGCGUUGUUGCAAAUUGUUGAGGUAUUCUCGUUUCCAAAAUACAUUUUUAAUUUUUUGAUUAAAAUUAAUAUUUUAUGUAACUGUGUGAUGAGUUCGAGAGCAUUUCAUAUUUUUUUUUGGGUAUAAUGGAAGAAGAAAGUCAUUGUUAAAAACAAUGAUGAUUUUAUACUUUUACUAUUUCCAGAUCUCUACAUGUCCAUAUAUUAGGGCGCCAGUGGCUGCUGAAAAGCAGACCACAAAUUUAUUCAUCUAUGGCACAUGUAGAGACCUAAAGCUGUGCCGGCUAGCAAUUAUGUUGAUGGGGAAAUUAACCAAUCAAUUUUUUGGUUAAACAUAUUUUAUUUAUUCUAAUAAAAUAAAUUUUCAAUGCACUACAAAUAUAGAUAAAACAAAGAAAAAAUACUUGAAUAAUAUCACGCGCAUAUAAGAUUAAAAAUAUAUAUAUUUAAGAAAAAAAAAACUGCAGAUAAGGUUAAAAGGGAGGAGUUUUAAACUUUAUACAAAAGAAAAAAAAAAAGGGCCUAUCGUGCCAAAGUCCCAUUAUCCCCCAACCUACCUAGUCAUCCAGCCACCCAGUGUCCAUCAUUCAAAAGGAUGGGCAGCCAAGGCCGCAGUCAGCGGCCUCCGCCCUCCGCAACUCCAAGUCUUUUUUUCUUCUCAAAAAAAAAAAUCAAAUUUUUUGUUAAUAAAAAGAAAUGUAAAAAUCCGAAUGUCAAUAUCAAAAUUGUCAAUCUUCAAGAAGGUAAAUAUCCCGCUUCCUUGUCCCCAGUGUUGCUGAACUCACCCCCCAAGGCUAUCAUCACUUCUUUUUCUAUGAAAAUAAAAAUUAAAAGGCAUCUUUAAAAAAUGAUAAAAAUAAAUUAAAUAUAAAAUUAUUAAAGAUAUAUUCACAAAAAAUAAUAAUAAAAAUUAUGAAAAUAUUGAAUUAAUGCAGAUAAUUAGGGAAAGGGUAAACAUGGUGGAUGAUACAUUAAAUGAGUAAAUAUUACCUCUGUAUAAUAAAUAUGCCAAACUUCUUGAAGAAUAUGAUAUAUGGGAAGGAAAUAACAUUGAUUUGGGAAUAUAUUAUGGUAAAUAAACAAAAUAUAUAUAUAUGCAGUGGUUAAAACUUGUUUAGUGCAUUUUAUCUGAAGAUGGUAACAACGCUGCUACCAAAAUGUCACACAUCUAUAAUCCGAAUCGUGCUUUCUAUAUAUACAAAUAUACAUUAAUAUAAUAAAGGAAUGAUACAUGAUAUAAGGUAAUAAUGAGUAUAUAAUAAUAAUAAAACGAAUAGAUAUGCACUGAGAGUCUAGGUCAUUUCACUAGCAUUUCAAAAUAGGCAUUGGAGGGGGCGGAGGUGUAGUCCCUGGUGCAAGCGCUGGGAUGGAGGUGCGGAUCUGAGCGGGCUUUUUGUUAGCAGUCUGGCGGCGGGUGGGCCCCCAACGGGCGCACGGCUGUGGGUGGGCGUACUGGCAGGUACGCGGCGGUGGGCGGAGGAGCCGCCACUCAGGGGAGAAGGCAAAGGAGCCAGCUUGGCGGAGGAUCCAAGUGUCCUCGUCGGAGAGGAGAAGGCAAGUGGCUGUAUACAUGUUAAUUAUAAGAGAUAUGUACAUAAAAGAGAGAUAAAAAAUUCAAAUUGACCAAAUCCACUCCAUGAAUCAAAUAUAUAAAAAUAAUAUACAUGACGAAUUUUUUUUCUGAGGAAAAUAUUGAAAAGGAAUCAAAUUUUAAUAUAAAUCACUCUCAGUAGCUCUCUUUUGUGUGAAAGGCCUUGAAACAGUCAGCAAUGCAUAAAGGAACCAGACAGGUCUCACACAUAUAGCUGGUGUCCUUCCUCACUCUUUUACAGAAAAUCUUUUUCCUUUGUCAGAGCAAACUUUGCACCUCUUCUGGAUGGUAGUCUUGCCAGUAGCAGGGAUUUUGGUGAGGAAAUGUUUUCCAAUCAGCCUCUCUGAUGAUCCAGAUGCACUUGGCUGUUCAUCCAAAAUUUCUGUACCUGCUUCUUCCAUCAACCUUUCAAUGAUAGCCAAAUGAUAUUCUCUAAGUGGCAUUUUUUGACCCGUGGUCAAUUUAUUAUAUACAAUAUGGCUAUUGACAAUAGUGAGGCCGAAAAUGUGGAAGAAAAGCUUUUUCCACCACUUUAGAGUACGCCGAUGAAAAGGAUAAUAUGCCAUAAAUUGGUCACUUAUAUCGACACCAGCCUUGUUUUUAUUGUAGUCAACUACAAUAGCAGGUUUGGUUAUCGAAAUGGUUUGAGGCUGUCUUCUUAUUUUCUUUUGAGCCUGGAUCAUGCUGGAAUCUUGGGUUGUUGCUAUCAUAAAGACAUCCCUGGUGUCACGCCAUUUCAAUGCGAGAAGCUGACUGUUUUGACAAAAGAGGCUUUCACCUUUUUUCAGUUUUUUUGAGAAAGCUUUUUUUGGCAAUCCCUUUCUGUUAUGCCUGACUGUUCCUACUGCAAGUGUUUUCUUUUCCCAUAAAUGAUUGAAAAGUUGGGGAGAGGAAAACCACCUAUCGAAAUAGAUGAUGUGGCCUUUCUGGUAGUAAGGUUCAGCAAUCCUGUCAACUAAGCUCAAUAUAGAAUUAUAUUGGAGGCUUUGAUGAGGAUGUCUUCCAGUAUAUAUAUCCAGGUUACAGGUAUACCCUGUACUUGAUUCACAAAUCUUGAUCCCAUAUUUAUGAGGUUUGCCCUUUAUAUAUACUCGGAAAUGAACCCGUCCACGAAAAGGACAAAUGGCCUCAUCAAUUGUCAAUUUUUCAUCAGGCGAGUACCAGGUUCGGAAUUUAUUGACAAGGGAAUCAAAUAAGGUUCUUAUCUUGUAAAUUGGAUCAUAUCCUGGUUGUCCAUGUGGAAUAUAUAGCAUAUUAUCAUUCAGAUGGAGCAUUGAUAAAAUGGCCUCAAAUCUUUCCCUUGCCAUUCCAGUCGAUUUGCAGAAAGCUGUCCUCAUUCCAAUGUGGUUUGACCAAUAUUCUCUAAGCCUUGGUGUGUUGUACACUUUUAGAUUGGUACACUAUGAUGUUGGUUCGUUUAGAUUUAAAUGGUCUCGAGCAAAGGUGAUAAUAUAUUUAAAGAGGAUCAACUUUAUAUUGAGGUGGUUCGUUUGAUUUUGAAAAAAUGAUUCAAUUAUUCAUUCGUGGUAUUUUAAUUUAUUAAGGAUAAAAUAUAAAUAUUAAUAAAAUGUUACAAAUUAAAUAUUUAGUAAAAAAGAAGUUGAAAAAUGUUUGAUUCAAACGGAUGGAUGGGAAAGAAUGUCCGCCCGUGAUGGCCGUCGAUUUUCGAACGUACCCUCGCCCGUGCUUCCCACGUGACCGCCGCCGCCGCGCAUGCGCGCCGACCUUUGUCACCGUCGGCAGGAUGGUGGUGGUUGAAAGGCCGUUCAAACUGUUUUCUUUUCUUCUCGCGUGGGCGUGCCUUGCCUCUCGCAGACCACGUGAGGCCCAGCGCAAAUUACCUUUCACUAACACUUGGUUUUACUACAAGACUCAUAUGAAUGAUUAUUGCCAAAAAUAUCUUCAAUUCAGCAAUAGAAACAGCUUUCCACUUUGCCAACAACCCCCUAGGAUUCAAAGGGCCUUUCUUUCUCUCUUUGUCAAUCACCAUCCUUGCAUAUUUGUUGGUUUCCAACUUUAUUGUUCUAAACAAUUCUUCAUCAAAAAAACUUCUUGAAUACUGAAUAUGGAGAGAGAGUUCCAGGAAAGAAAGCUGCCUUUGGUCCACAGGUUCCAGAAAAUGUAGGCUUUUCAAAAGGUAAUCUUACCUCGGUCCAUCCUUCAUCUUCAGGGGUAGGUUGUCUUAUUUGCAAAAAAAAAAAAGGUGAAAUAUAUGAAUAGGAUGAAAGAAAAAUAAGAAUAGUUACCCCUUCCUCACUUUCUUCAUAAUAAAUUUCAGUUGUAUCAGAUUCUAGACCUUCCAAAGUAAAUUGAGGAUCUUCAAUCGAAUCAUCUAGUUCAGACCCAGAAUCUGCUAGGAAAUAAUCCUCAAACUCUUCAUCAGCUUCAGGAACAUUCAAUAAAUCAAUUCCUGAGGUACUGGGCAUGUUGGGACCUAUUUUUAGAGCGAGUGAAUGAAGAACAAAAAAAGAGAGCAGCACUCUACGUCAAGGAAACAGUAGAAGAUAAACAAAUGACUGCAUGUGGGUAUAUGAGUCACAGAAAUGGAAUCUGGGAGGAGGGGAACACGUGUUAGCCAAUCGUUGAUGGACACUUCAAGGACGUUGUACCCAAAAUCCUGAGGAACGUACUUUAACGGCCGAUUUUAUACCGAUUUUUAAAAAAUGUGGGACGUAAAUAUACGUCCGCCGGGCUUUAAGUGUUAAAUUAUAUAUAAAAUUGACCAGUCAUAUGAAAUAUAUAUCAUCCUCUCCUCUUCGAAAGAGCGGAACUCUUCAUAUGUCCAAUCUUGUAGGUGGUUUCUGAAUCCUACUAGAUCUCCGGAGGGGAUUAACUGGAUCUGGUGGUGUAAUAGUCUGCGGACUCUGGACUGGUUCGGUAGAAGACUGUGGCUCCGAUGUCACUUCCUGGCGUAGUGGAAUCAGUUCCUCUGGUUCGGUGUUUAUAUCAGGCUUAUCAGGCUCGGAGACUCCAGCGUGGUCUUCAGUAGAUUCACUUCUCUACUCAGGAAUGUGAGAUCUCCAUAUUUGGUUCCAAUGUCUUCUAACUUGUCCUUUGGCUGUUUGCAAUGUAACUAGACGGUUUCCCGUAGUGCCUUGAAUGUUAGCUUGGUCCCAUUUUGGUCCUGAUUUGUAGGUUCGAUACCAUACAGACUCUCCUACCUUAAAACCUGGUUUGUCUGAUUUACCAGGAUUUGGUAAGAUCAAAUCCAAACGACUCCGAAUGUUAUGGCCAAACAUCAUUUCGGAGGGAGACUUUCCAAUGCUAGCUAUGGGGGUCCUUCUAUAGCCCAAAAGUAUCUCUGCUAGGUGACAACUUCCCAAAGAUCUUCCUUUUGCAAGAGCAUUUCAAUUUUAAAAGACCAUAGUAAGUAGUUAUAGCCGUCGAGCUUAUCUAGGGUUACAUCGUGGCUCGGUAGUGAUGCCAAUUUUUGCUAAGCCUUUUUUCUUUGUCUUAACUUGUUAGUUGAAUUUCAUGCAAUAUUCAGUCUCAUAAUCUGAUUGUUGUAAGAUUUAGGUACUUACAGCUUGUAUGAAGACAUGAGGCCGUUGAUGAUUAUAUGAUAAUAAACUUUAUUAUCCCCAUUUAGUAAAAGAAAGUUAUAGUAGCGAACACAUUAACAGUAUAGAGAAGAAGUAAACAAAACUGUAGUGAUGAUGAUAAGGCCAGUGUGGCGCUAGCUACAGUCGUAGCAUUCAGUUUCCAACAUUAAUAAAUGAGGCAAUUAUAAUUUUUAGUUAUUUUUAUUACAUAACUUACAGGACACAUCACAUUGUUACAACAAACAACACAUUCACAUACCAAUUGAUGAUGAUCUUAAUACUUAUUCAUAGAACACAUUAUAUAACACCUCCCCCUUAAGCUAAAGGGUUAGUCUCACGGCGGUUUCACCACUCUGCCAGUCCUUGUAAUGUAGGGCCUUGAAGUUCCCCCUGCAGUUCUUGAGAAUCUUGUUGGAAUUCCACCUCACAUGAAGAAGGGUCUUGUUGUUCCACCUCACAUGAAGAAGGGUCUUGUUCUGAAGACUCAGGUAAAUCCACUUGGGUUACCUCCAGGAUAUUUUCUUCACAUUCUCUGGAAACCUUAUGUUUAUAAUUCUGAGCCAAAUGAAUUUUGUUUCUUCUCAAUUGUCCUUUUGGAGACUUUACUAAGUAGAAUCUCGGCUGGUCUGCUCUGCCUAUGAUAGUUCCAGGAACUUUUAGAUCUCAGACCCACACUUGAUCUCAGACAUCAAACUCUUUCUGACUUAAAACUUUCCAAUGAUUGUUGUAACUUCUUCUUUCCCUCUCUCUGUAUUUAUGUUCCUUUUGAUUAAGAAGUCCUUGGUUGACCAGAGUAGGCUUAAGAAGGUCAGGAUGAGUAGGAAGAUCAGUUCUUAAUUUUCUUCCCAUCGGUAAUUCAGAUGGACUGAAUCCAUUUUCCAAAGGGGUAGUUCUGUAAGCUAGAGGUCCUAGAUAAGGAUCCUGUGAUUUCUUCAAUCUUGCCUUGAUCAUCUUCACAGCACUUUCAGCCAUUCCAUUACUUUGGAGGUAUUUAGGGCUGCUCGUGAUGUGUCUAAAUCCGUACCUUUUUCAAAAUUCUGGAACAAAUAGUUUUUAAAUUGUGGACCAUUAUCCGUCCUUACAAGUUCUGGUAUUCCAUGUCUUGCAAAAAUAGACUUGGUAUGCAAGAUCACAGUUUCUGCUGAUAAAUUAUCCAAUCUACUAAAUUCUGGGUAACGCGAGAAUAGUAAUCAGUUAUUACCAAAAAGUGUUUUCCCUCAAAUUGGCAAAGAUCCAUCGCAACCUCCUUCCAUGGUCUAUCUGGGAAGUCAGUCAUGAUAAUUGGUUCUUUCCUUGAACUGCUUUCUUUGAUGCAAAUGUACAUAUUUACAAGCUGUAUGUAGUAGUAUUCUACGGAUUCUGGGAUGAGCAGGAUGCUAAACAAAAAGUCCAUUAAAUAUAUAUUUUUUUGCACCAAAAAAGAGAUGAAUACUAACCUUUACUGAGGAACGGGUUGAUCUUGAGUUGGUGGUGGGUAGAUGGCUUUGAUUGCUUCUAUAAAUGAUUGCAUCUUUUGCCGGGGGUUGCCUGGGUGUGCGCAGCGCAAUUGGUUUUUAGGCCGACGUGCUGACCGCAGUUUUCUCUUUAUUUGCCACCAUGUGUUUUCUAUAGUGUUCGUAUGGGCGCCAGUGACAGGGUCCAUGAAAUUUUGAGAGUGAUUGACGGUCAUAUGUAUAUAACCCCUCCGCGCCAAACGGUUGUAGGCAAGCCAACAAUCGGUGAUCACUAUCGUGCCUCGAAGAACACAAGCGCGAAAUAUGGGCUCGAUGGUGGCCCUGUUCUUCCGCCGGAUGACAUGAAGGAACACUCGUCCCCACUUCCUCUAGACUCCUCCAAGCACCCAUUUUCCGUGAACCCAGCGCCCACGGUUGUCUUUUCUUUUUCCGAAAAUACAUUUGUUGAUUUCGACGAUUUUUCUGGGACUUCCGAUUGGGGUGUUAUCCCGCACCAUGACUUCACGGCUGAAGCUGUACCAGUCUGUGAGGGUGUUGGGUGAGAGGUCCAGGUCGUGGGAUACAAUACGUAGUGUGGUGCCAUAUAUCCAAUUUUGCUUAUCGGCAUCCUUGAUCUCCAGAACCAAGUAUUUUUUUGAAUGGAUCUUGCAAAAUAGUGCGGAUUCACUCCUCCUUUUUUACACAUCCAUUUGUAGUAUUCCCGCCUAGAUCUUUAAGUUGGGCUGGCGUGCCACAUUUGCUGCAUGUAUAAUGUUCAGCCAGUAGGCCCUUUCUAAUACACCAGGCAGCUAUAUUUUGCAUCAGAGAUAUGAGGGAGAAAAAUGUUAUGUCAAGGCGUUCAUCCAUCAAAAGUUCAUUGAUUAAAUUGAUAUUCAUUUGUAAGGGGAGAGCAAGAGAAAGAAUAAAGACGCCAUGACUUAUUUCGCACAACGAAACAAAAACCAAAAGGGGGAGGGGAAGGAGGAGGAUAGCGGUUUGUCAAUAUCCUUGGGAAAGGGGUGAUAGCGAAACAAACAUGUGCGUAUUGAUUCGAAUAAAAUAAAUAUUUUUUAUAUUGAACCUUAAAAUAAAGAUGUUUAUGCAUUUUUUGCUGUUUGGGAACAAAUACAGCUCUGUAACAUUAUGGAAUGAACCUAAGAAUGAAGCCGCGGGGACCGUCGUGAGAUGAUAAUGGCCUACAACCGAGCGGGGCUGUCUGAAAAUAUCCACUGUAACCUAAAUAACUGUCGAAAUCUGGACGCCCCUUCUUUUGUCCGUCUCUGGAUCCCCCAGGUGUCCCGUGGCAAGCUGGUGUCACUUUGAGACAACUAGAAAAGGCGUCAUACUUUAUUACUUACAUAUCACAUUGUUUAAAUUAUGAUAUAUAUAUAUGUAAUAUUGUUGCAAAUGUCCUCGGCGUCCCCUUUCUUGUGGAGCAAGAUAGAGGAACUUUCCUUCCAUGAAGGGGGUACCGCCCUCAUCUGGAAGCAGACCUGGAAGAUCUGGGUGAGGAUGGUGGCUUUGGGAUCCACCCGUUUCAGUUCCUGGUAGCUGAUGCCAUCGGGACCAGGAGCAGUGUUUCCCAUCUUGAGAAGGCGGUACCAUACUGCGUUGGAAGAGAUGGGUUCUUCCAACUGGGCUCCGUCCUGGGGGGCGAAGUCCUUGAGGAGAUCUGGGUCGGGGCUGAACACGGUGUUGUCCCCAACCAUGCGUUUCUCGAAGUGUUCUUCAAUCAUCUGGAUGGGGAUGGUGCAGCCCGGGGAGCGUUGGCCAAAUUUUGGCAUUUAAAAAUGUAGAAAUAUUUUCCAUUAGUUUUUCCAACACAGGAAACAUUUUUUUUUCCUAUUGAAUUUAUCUCCCAUUUUUAAUUUAAAUAAAGUAUUACCAAAUAAUUUGGCAUACAAAAUAAAAUUACCAACCUUAAAUUAAUUAGAAUAUUUUGUAAACAAACGAUUAUAUUAGGGGGACGUUUUGUUGGUCCAGUUCCACAGGCGGUCCUGUCGGAGUCUCGGAAGAAAUCGGCUCCUGGGCCGCUGACUGAGUUGAGUGUUCAGGCUCCUCCAGGGCCACGGCGUCGCUUCCAGGUGUCCUCUUCUUGCUCCUCGUAGAUGGUGCGCUCUUUUGGGCCAGUUUUUCAACCGUAGAGCAAUCCUGGUGGUGUUUCUGCAGGUCUUUGAAGCUUUGUUGGCAGACCGUGCAGUCAAAAACCACGUUGUUGAUCUUGUGUAGAACACGAAGGUGCUUCACCAGAUCGUUGUGCUGUUUGUAGACACCACUGCGGGUUACUCUCGCCAUCCCGUAACACUCGGGACAUUUAAAGACCUCAGGUAGCCGGAACGGCAUCCUAAACGGAUCACAAAGAGCAGGGGCAAGGUUGUGUACAUGUGUCACAUUUGUGUGAGAACCUGGUAGGCAUGUGGUGUCAGACGGGCUUACCACCAGAGCAUCGUGUUUGUGUCACGUGUUACACAGUGUGCAUCAGCGACCUGGUUGUUAUUACCAAGAGGUAAACAAACCUGGUCACGUGACACAACAAUGUGUGCAGAAACAUGCGCAAUAGGAUGGCCAAACUUGUCGAGACGAGUGGCAGAACAAGGAUGCAUGUCACGUGACCAAACAGACAUGGGUGCAAUAACCUGGUUGAUCGCCGGGCCGCGCGGCGAUGGUGCAUUGCGAUGGUACUCAAUUACACAUCUUUUUGGUGGGUUGUGAUGCAGAAUCUUCUUGGGGAACUGAUCUUUUCAUCUGUUCGUUUUCCUGCUCCUUCUUCAAUUCCGCCACCACAGCAUUGCCAAUUCUUAUGGCAUUGUCUGUUCUUUCUUGAUAAACUUGUACGAACUCUUCUUCAGACAUUCCUAGUUUGAAUUCCUUCAAUAUCUUGUUUUUCACCAUAUAGCCGAGGUCCACUUUGUUAGAUUUGGGAAGAAGUGUUAUUGCUAGGCCAGUAUUUCCAGCCAUAGCAGUACGGCCUACUCUCCUGGUAUAGUCUUCCUUCACGUUGGGGCGAUCGAAAUUUAUCACCGCCGAGACUUCACGGAAAUCCAUGCCCCUCCCUGCAACAUCUGUAGCCACCAUAUAAGAUUGGGAUUCCUCUUUGAACUUUCUCAAAUUCUUGUUCCGGUUAGCCCGAGCCAUAUCGCAAUGGAGCAUCAAUGGCCUGAAGCCAAGCGUUUUAAGAAUUCUGUGCAGCCGAAUAGUGCUGAAUUUUGUUUUGCAGAACAUCAGCACUCUCUUACGAUGAAAGGGUCCUUCUAGAAGUGCUGCCAGAUAGUAUUCCUUGUGCUCCGUUAAACAGCGAAGGUAGAAAUGUUCCAGAUGGGGGCUAAUCAGUGUGUCUGCUCGGAUUUCCACAAAGUCUUGCAGAAAAAGUCUAUUGAGAUCUAUAUUCUCCGCAGACAUAGUGGCGGAGAACAGCAAGGUCUGCCUCUCCUUGGGCAGCAGGUUCAGGAUUUCAUCCAGGUCUUUUUCGUUUUUAAGAAUCCGGUCCGCUUCAUCCAGGACCAGCACUUUGAGACAUUUUAAAGAGAAGUUCUUGGUCUUAGAUGGUGAAGGAGGCGUCCAGGGGUGGCGACAAUCACAUGGGGCCUCAGCUCGUUGAGCAGCAGGGCCUGAUGUUCAUAGCUGUCCCCACCCGUUAAAUGGACCACCGCGCAGGCUUGAUUUCCGCUGUGUCAAGUACGAGACUUGGCGACGUGGAAAUCCCACCAGAAGCACUGUACCGCGAACAGGGCCCAGCAGAAGUGCCAGGCCAAGAAAUUGGUGAAAUAAUUGCCUGCAUUUAAAAAUAUGGUUUGGGCUAUUAUCACAAAUCAAUAUUCUAUAACUGUAGAAGUCCAUUGAUGAAACCUUUUUAUUGGUUAUUGUGCCUGAAAAUGGCUCAAUUUGCAUAAUGUUAAAAUGGUAGCCGUCUUCACCAUAAGGGAAUAUCAAUGGAUAUUGAAGGGCAUCAUAGGACCGAUGUGUUUUUGAAAUUUGCUGUAUUAAGAUAGGUCACGCCAUCCUCAAACUCGAUCGUUGAUGGUACAAAAUCACGUACGAGGAAGGAUGCGGAGGAAGUCACCUCGACGCAGAACUCACUAGAGCCAUAAUGAGUGGAAAUAGUAGCCAUGUCAUCAGAACCAAAGGUUUGAUAACCCACAAGCAGAGCACCAAGCCCAGUAAUAUGGUCAGGAGUGACCUUGGCGAUAGGCAUCCAGGAAAAUGCUUUGUCGCCAGCUCGGGGAGUGUAGGUGUAGGUUCUAGUGUCACUUUCUCUAAAAGUGACGGCUCUGUGGUCGCGUUGAAUGUCUGUGAGAUGCAUCCAUGUGUAGUCUACACUGGAGUUUGGAGUAUCCAUGGAAUAGGGAAUGAAACAGACCGAGAUUGUACCACCUCUGUUCCUUACAUCAGUGUUAGUCAUAAUCCGGAAAUGCAGCGAUUGGAGCCGAGCCUCACGAUAAUGGCAAAGAUAUUUACCAUCGUCGAUGCCAGCGUCCCAUUUCGCAGCAAGCCAUGGUGAAUUGUUAUUAUUUAAUAGAGAGAGAAAAAAAAAUUCUUUACUUCUUACGCAUCAUCCAUAUAUAUUUAUAAUUAAUAACAAUAAAAUUUAACAACGUAACGUCUUUUGCAAUCGGCUGUUACCCGUCAUUUAGACAUACUCUAAUUUAUAUAUAGAAUAAUAGAAGUGAGAAUAUAUUUAAUAGUAUAAAUUUUAGUAGUUAUAUAGAGAAAAGAGAGAAAGACAGAACGACAUAUAUAUAUAUGUCGUAAACCCGGGUGAGACAACAAGUGGGUUGGAAGCAGUCGGGGUUGAGUGGCAAGGCGUGCAGAGUGGGAAGUCCGCACGGGACAGUAAGGACAAAGUUUGGGACCAAAAGAUGCUCUCCCCAGUACGUCUCAAGUGGCACCAGGACCAGGGGAAAGUUGAGGAUUAACUGAGGAAAAGCUCGGCGUCCAGCCUGAAGCCGCGGGGACCGUCGUGAGAUGAUAAUGGCCUACAACCGAGCGGGGCUGUCUGAAAAUAUCCACUGUAACCUAAAUAACUGUCGAAAUCUGGACGCCCCUUCUUUUGUCCGUCUCUGGAUCCCCCAGGUGUCCCGUGGCAAGCUGGUGUCACUUUGAGACGACUAGAAAAGGCGUCAUACUUUAUUACUUACAUAUCACAUUGUUUAAAUUACGAUAUAUAUGUAAUAUUGUUGCAAAUGCCGACGUUAGGAUGAACUGGCAGUCGUGUACGUGAGGCGAGUGUUGGUGUUCUUCCCACACACGGACAACAAGAAGCAGAGGCAGGGCUGGAUGUUAACACAGAGAGUGAUCGGGAACAGCCCACGGGACAGAGGUAGAGGCCAUGACACAAACUUGGAUGCUUAUCACCGAGACCUGGAGGGAGAGACUGUGUGAGAGACAUAUAUAUGAUGUAAUUCUAUGUGUGAAAAAGAAUUAGCAGUCGUUUGUGGCCGUCUCCACCUCAAUAAUCAUAUCUUUAUUUUUUUCAAAUCUUUUUAAAACAAACAACAAAAUUUACAUACUUGGCACGCUGUAAAAAUUAAUUAUUUUACAAACAAAGAACAUUAUGCAAAACAGAUAGAAUUUUAAUAUCAUUCAAAAUGAAUCACUACCCCCCACAAAAAAAAAAAAAAAAAAACUAGUGUUAAUUUUUUUCUCAACGGAGGUUGGGAGGGGAUGGAAGGUAAAGGAUAAGAUACAUUUUGAAGGAAGAAAAAAAAUGCAAAAAUUAUAUUACACAAGUAAUUGUAUUUACACAAGAAACUAUAUUGUUAGAGGUAAAAGGCGACCAAAGCCUGUUGGGGAAAAUCACAGGAAAAGGUGGCCCUACAAAACCUAACUAACAAUAGGCAGGAAGAAAAAAAUGAUAUUUUAAAAUUUGGACAUUACAUGUCUAUGGAGACACUCUCCAUGUAGAAUCCCAUUCCAGGGCAACUUUUUUGUUAUUUUCUCGAAACCGGCAGUAGUUUCUCCAGGGGCUCUGUGGGGUGAUCUGGAUUUUUUUUUUUCUUUAAUGGAAGAGAAUAAAACCUGAGGACUAUCGGUGGAAGCUUGCUUGUUAGGUUCGAUACCCAAGCAUCCUUCCAAAUCCUCUUCUUCCUGAAAUGGGAAUGUUGGUUCAGUAUUAUCUUCAGUUACCGGAUCCCAGAGCUUUACUUUAGAAAUAUUAACUAUUGUUGCAUGCUUAUUUUCGGGUUGGCAAGGCUUAUCUAUUUCUAUGGUUUGUAGUGAGGGUAUGGAAAUUAUGGUGUAUGGUUCUGGAUAAAAGGCUGGCAUGAGCUUACCUUGACCUGAUUGGUAAGGGAUCUUAUAAAGGACCUUAUCCCCUAUUUUUAGAUUAGGCGUUUUAUGGGAUUCAUUAUAUCUUUUUACCAAUUUAAGAUGUAAUUUUUCGGUAUUUUCAUUUGCAAUUUUCCUAGCCUCUUCUAUGGGUGGAUAUGCUCUUGUUAAUUUAUUGAUAUAUGAUGGCGUUAUGCCAAAAAGCAAAUAAACGGGAGGCAUUUUAGUUAUGGAAUGAGGAAUACUCCGAUAUUCUUCUAAGGCCUUUUGUAAUAAUUUGGGCCAUGGUAUUCUGGGAUUUUGUUGAUGGCCUUGAUUCUUUGAUGUUGGCCUUGAUCUCGAUAAAUUAAUUUCAGACACUUGUCUUUCAAGUGAAGAAAUUUUCUCUAACAAAUUUUCCAUAUUAGUAUGAGAAGUUUGUGAAGAACUAGCACUACAGACAUCAGGGCUAAAGGUCAUGUCCAUUAUUUUAUCAGCCAUUAGAUGCUAAUUUUGUGACAUUUUCAUCACUUACAAGUAAUAUCUUCUUCAUUGAAUCAGAUAAUUUUUAAAGCCAUAAUGUCUUUAUUAGAUUAUCUAAUAUAUCUUUAGUGGCAAGAGAUCUUAAUUUCUAUAAAAGUUGACUAGGCUUCAUGUUUCCAAGCUCAAUUCCUGUGAUAAGCCUUUUUAUUCUAACACUUUCACUCGCUUUAAAUAUAGUUAAAAGUCUAGUUUUGGACUCUGUAUAUUUAAAUUUACUAUCAAGAGUAAUUAUGUCCCAAAUAUUUUCAAUAUACUUAGGCUCAAGUUGUGCGAUCAAAUAAUUAAAUAUAUAUUUUGUUUCUUCUGAAGUUAUACAAUUUAUACUGAAUUGCGCCUCAACUUGAUAAAACCAAAUCUCAGGUUUAUCUGUCCAAAAAGGAGGAAUUUUAAUACUUACUUUGUGGACUUCUUGAGGUGAAGAAGCUUCUUUAAUUGUAUUUUCAUUCGAAUCUUUGUUCAUUUUAAAAAUGUGAUCACGUCCGGCUCACCAAAUGUGGUAGAUGUUUUGAAGAAAUAGCCUUAGCCUUUUUAAAAUGUGUCUGUACGCUGCUCUCCCUCUUUAAGAGGUGGAAUUUUACUGGUCUGUCAAGUAGGAUUUCAGUUCUUAUUGUGUGGAAAUUUAUGAAUAGUGCAUGGUUUUUUGGGUUAUACAUCUCGAUGGGGGAUAAGACUUUACACUCUUCAUUGAUUAGAUAUAUAGUGUUGUUUUUAGGCCAGAUCUUAUCUUUUGGUUGAUUACAAUAUGUUUUUACUUUUACAUUAUAGUUAGUUGAAUAUUUUAUGAAUUGGAAAAAGUCUUUACUUAAAUUGCUAGAAUAUUGAAGGUUAUGCUUAAUAGAUAUUAUUGGAUUUAGGAUUAAGUCUAGAUGAUUGUUACUUGCAGUGCAUUUCCGUUCACUUGGGCACUGUUCUGCAGAGCGCUCCUCUUCUGCAGCAGCAGCUGAUGGAAGGAGUGCAGGCUCUGGUAUAUCAUUGCAUCUGGUUCUUUGUUCUGUAGAUCUGCCGACUUUUCCUCGAUCUUGAAAAGAGUGGUGAUCACUUUUAGUUGGUAGGCGUUGUUCAUUUUUAGAUUCAAAACAUGACGCCAGGAUACGCCCGGAGUUCCUAGCGUCGCUUCGAAGUUUUUUGAAUCCCCAGGUCCUACAGUUGCGUACAGGUCCUGCAGUCUUGCAUAGUUCAGGACCCAAGGAGGGAGAUGCAGCUUCUGGCUUUUGCUGAUUGAUUCUUGGAUGUUGCGUAUGCCGGGCACUUCUCUGAACUGCUGGAGCAUCUUGGAUGUUUCCACUCUUCCUCUCACUUUUCUUGCCAUGGCCCACAGACAUCUCUGUGCCUUGUAGAAGUUUUCGAGAGUCAAACCUCCUCUCUUUAUCAUUAUGAAGAAGAUGAGGAAGACUGGGUCAAUGUUUGAGCCCUGCUGUCUGAACUGGUCUGCCUCAGCAGGUUGAGUGGCCCUUAUAUCGGCAAUUUCUGUAUCUAGUUCGGCCAGAAGAGCAGUGAACCUGGUGGCAACACUUCUGGUUGCGGAUGCAGCAAGGGCUGUCAUUCUCUGCCUUAUUGUUCCUUGGUUUGUGUCCGACCAGAGGAGAGCAGUGGUUAACAUUCUUCUAUUGCUCUUGUUCCUCUUGUCUUCUGCGAAGGGGAAGAUUGGGUCUUCUGAUCGGAGGGCAAGCACAACCUCAUCCACAUAAGGUGGCUUCAAUGGUGGUGCCAGGCAAAACAUAUUUUUUUAUAACCGCAAAUUGCAAUAUAUAAAUAAUGCAAAUUGCAAAUGUUUUAUAAAGUACAAUUGUGACAAUGGUUCAUAUAACUUGAAUAUCUGAUAAAACAUGACUUUGCCAUAUUAACUUAACUCUGUACAAACUCUGUACAAAAUUAUGAUAUUAAAUUAAUUUUAAUAUAAAUAAUAAAAUUUCAAAUAAUUUUUAAUUUUAAAUUUAUAUUAAAAUCUAUUUUAUCUAGCGAUUUAUUCUAGUGUAAAUAGUGUAAUUUAGGGCUGCUCUUGAUGUGUCUAAAUGCGUACCUUUUUUCAAAAUUCUGGAACAAAUAGUUUUUAAAUUGUGGACCAUUAUCCGUCCUUACAAGUUCUGGUAUUCCAUGUCUUGCAAAAAUAGACUUGGUAUGCAAGAUCACAGUUUCUGCUGAUAAAUUAUCCAAUCUACUAAAUUCUGGGUAACGAGAAUAGUAAUCAGUUAUUACCAAAAAGUGUUUUCCCUCAAAUUGGCAAAGAUCCAUCACAACCUCCUUCCAUGGUCUAUCUGGGAAGUCAGUCAUGAUAAUUGGUUCUUUCCUUGAACUGCUUUCUUUGAUGCAAAUGUACAUAUUUACAAGCUGUAUGUAGUAGUAUUCUACGGAUUCUGGGAUGAGCAGGAUGCUAAACAAAAAGUCCAUUAAAUAUAUAUUUUUUGAACAAAAAAAGAUGAUUACUAACCUUUACUGAGGAACGGGUUGAUCUUGAGUUGGUGGUGGGUAGAUGGCUUUGAUUGCUUCUAUAAAUGAUUGCAUCUGUUGCCGGGGGUUGCCUGGGUGUGCGCGGCACCAGGCAUAUUUAGCAAAAAAAAAAGGCAAUUGGUUUUUAGGCCGACGUGCUGACCGCAGUUUUCUCUUUAUUUGCCACCAUGUGUUUUCUAUAGUGUUCGUAUGGGCGCCAGUGACGGGGUCCAUGAAAUUUUGAGAGUGAUUGACGGUCAUAUGUAUAUAACCCCUCCGCGCCAAACGGUUGUAGGCACGCCAACAAUCAGUGAUCACUAUCGUGCCUCGAAGAACACAAGCGCGAAUUAUGGGCUCGAUGGUGGCCCUGUUCUUCCGCCGGAUUGAACUUUCUUCUAGAAAGAACGAGCUGACUCACUUCGAUUCAAUUCGAUUUAUUUCAAACAACAAAAAAGAAUUACACUAAGAUUUAAUGCGAUUUAGUUGUAUUUAUUACAGAAAAAAAAAAAAAGACUAUUAAAUCAAAAAAGAAAAAAAAGAACAACAAAAAGAAUGAUGAUAAGUAACAAUAAAAUUCUAUGAAUAUGAAUUAUAAUUAAUUAAUAAAAUACAAUAAUAAUAAUAAUAAAAAAAAAAAAACUAACAUACUCCACCCCGGUGGACUAACUUAGUCCUCAGCAAAAGGUAACUGUACU